AUCACACACACACACACCUAGCUCGACACUUCCCUCUCAGCUCACUCAUUCUCUUCUCUCAAACCAAUCCGAGACCAUCAAGCCUCAAGAGGCCAACUUCACCCCAGAGCAUCACUCCAUAUCCUCCCUCUCGUCCCUAUCAACAUUGUAGUCGGCAUGCAUGCAUGGCGGAAUAAGCAUUUCUUAAGCAACUCAACUUGGAAUCCGACGAAACCGAGUUUUUCUAGCGAAACUCGACGGCUUACAAGCCAAUUUCUGGCCAGUUCCGACCACGGUCAGCCCUCAAGUUGGUGCAUCGGUGUCCUCUCUCAUUCGAGCGACUUCUCGAUAGUGGAAUAACUGUGAGUGGAUCCCUUCUCAAAUGAAUAUUUUAUAAAUCUUAGGAUUGCAUGCAUAUCAUAUUUCAUAAUUUGAGCAUAUUUUAAAGUAUGUUUUACGAAUUUCCAUAUUUUUGGUUUGCAGAGAAUUUAUGAUUUAUUUAAAUUACUUUAUGAAAUAUUUAUGAUUUAUUGAAUUUACAUUCUACUAAAGGUUAUGAAUUAUUGGAUUCAUAUGUAAAAUUCGGUGGAUUUACGAAUAUGAAUUAGCAUGGAUUUAUUUGAUGAGGUUUUUAGCUUUUGAGCUUUGGUGUUUUGGCAUGAGUUUUUGAGAUAUGUUUUCAGUGAUUAUCUAGUGGGUUAUCAUAUGACACAUACACACAACACAGGUAUGUAGUCUAUGGCCAUAUGACACAGUUGAUGAUAGUUAUGUUAUACCCCCAGCUUCACUGACAAACCAGUGUUGGACAGCUUCACUAGCCACGACUAGUGUCAUUGUGUUAUGCUACACAUAAAUAUGUUUCUUCUCUAGCGUAACCCAGAGUUGUACAGCUUCACAUCCAAGUGAUGGGGCCUACCAAUGUUUCUUCACUAGCGUGAACCAGUGUCGUACAACUUCACUUCAGGUGAUGGACAAGUACUACCUUCGGGCGACUAUAAUACCCCUCGAGAGUACAGUAGUGAUGAGAUUUAUGGAUUUGCCUUUGGGCGACGAUAACACCAUUUAAGCAUUGUUUUACUUAUACUUGUUUUUACGAAUGAUUUCAUGGCAUCGUAGAGUUUUCAAAAAACUUACUAUAUGUAGUAUUAUAUGUUUUCAAAACAGAGGGUUAGUAUGUUCUUAAAUAAAACGGUUUUCUUAUUAUUAGUAUUAUUAUUAUUAUUAUAAACUUUGGUCCACUCACUUUUUUGUUUUGCGCCCCUUUCAGGAGUUAAAAUCGAGACAUUCAAUUUCGAUGUCAGGGCAUCUUUAUGUAGGUAUCUACGAGUCUUUUCUGCGUAGGACCCACUCCUUUAUUCAUAUGUUUUAUUGUAAUUAUUUCAUAUAUUCCUUGAUUAGUUGUAUGCUCUGAACAUAUUUUCGCAUUGACAUAUUUCUUUCUAAUUACCUAUCUUAUUAUAUGCAUGUUUAAAAUGGCUUCGUCACCCUCGGGUAUCGACUAGCACGUGCCUAUCCUGGUAUUUGGGGAUAUCGAGAUUGAAGCGUGUCAACAAGUGUAUUUUUCUUUUUAGUUAUAAAAAGUUUGGAGUGCCAAUAACAAUUCUCUUUAUUUAUUUAUGUAAUAAUAUGAUUACACAGUAAAUUUUAUUAUUGCCCUAACUUUUGCUACCCAAGAAAGGAAGUUGCUAGCCCAUGUGGUGGAUGUAGCUCCAUUUUACAGAUAAUUGGAGAUGAAAUUUCUUAUUAGGGCUUCA